CUAUAAUGCAUCUCUUCAGAACUUGCCUCCAUGCAGGGCAUGAUGAAAAUAUUUACACUGACUUGUGUUGUAGCAGUGCUCAGCUUCUCCAGCUCAGAUCAGGGUCCUGCUGGGUUGAUGAUCUCCUGCAGAGCACAGUUCUUAUACAUGGGAACUCUGGAACUGAAUUUAAUUUCGCCUGAAGGCCAAAGGAAAAGCUGGGCUUUGGAGCACCAGGCAGAUCUGCUGUGGAAACAGUGGAUUAAAAUUAAACAGAAGAUGCCCAGGAAAAGAGUGACUCUGGCCACUUUCUCCAUUUGUUCUCUUGUUGUUGGACUGGGAGCUGCCCUCUGCUUAAGAGAAGAAGAAGGGAGCAGUUAAUAUAAUUGAAGUUCAUCUUCUGCUGCUCUGUGAUUAUGUGCUGGAACUGUAAUUUCUUCUGCUAUACCUUUUGGGACAGAAUUAUAUGGAUACAACCAAGGAGAAUGUCACCUGUGAGAUAAGUUAUCUAGAUAAGUGCCCCAAGAAAUUUUUUUGUAAAGCUGCAGUUUGUUUCCUAAUUUAAAAGAUGAAGGAGAAGAGUCUAAACUAGCUUCCCUGCCCAACCAAAAGCAUGAUCUGCAUUCCAG